AGCUCCAAUAGCGUAUAUUAAAGUUGUUGCAGUUAAAAAGCUCGUAGUUGGAUCUCGGGUCCAGGCUUGCGGUUCACCUCGCGGUGAUUACUGCCUGUCCUGACCUACCUCCCGGUUGUCCCUUGGUGCUCUUAAUUGAGUGUCUCGGGUGGCCGGAACGUUUACUUUGAAAAAAUUAGAGUGUUCAAAGCAGGCUUUGUGCCUGAAUAAUGGUGCAUGGAAUAAUGGAAUAGGACCUCGGUUCUAUUUUGUUGGUUUUCGGAACUUGAGGUAAUGAUUAAGAGGGACAGACGGGGGCAUUCGUAUUACGGUGUUAGAGGUGAAAUUCUUGGAUCGCCGUAAGACGAACUAGUGCGAAAGCAUUUGCCAAGAAUGUUUUCA
rnacentral:rRNA from 1 species